UACGUAGGGUGCAAGCGUUAAUCGGAAUUACUGGGCGUAAAGCGUGCGCAGGCGGUUAUUUAAGACAGGUGUGAAAUCCCCGGGCUCAACCUGGGAACUGCAUCUGUGACUGCAUAGCUAGAGUACGGUAGAGGGGGAUGGAAUUCCGCGUGUAGCAGUGAAAUGCGUAGAUAUGCGGAGGAACACCGAUGGCGAAGGCAAUCCCCUGGACCUGUACUGACGCUCAUGCACGAAAGCGUGGGGAGCAAACAGG
rnacentral:rRNA from 1 species